AUUGAACGCUGGCGGCAUGCCUUACACAUGCAAGUCGAACGGCAGCGCGUCCUUCGGGAUGGCGGCGAGUGGCGAACGGGUGAGUAAUACAUCGGAACGUACCCUGAAGUGGGGGAGUAACGUAGCGAAGUUACGCUAAUACCGCAUAUUCUGUGAGCAGGAAAGAGGGGGAGUCGCAAGACCUCUUGCUUUAGGAGCGGCCGAUGUCGGAUUAGCUAGUUGGUGAGGUAAAGGCUCACCAAGGCGACGAUCCGUAGCGGGUCUGAGAGGAUGAUCCGCCACACUGGGACUGAGACACGGCCCAGACUCCUACGGGAGGCAGCAGUGGGGAAUUUUGGACAAUGGGCGCAAGCCUGAUCCAGCCAUGCCGCGUGAGUGAUGAAGGCCUUCGGGUCGUAAACUCUGUCGGGAGGGACG
rnacentral:rRNA from 1 species